GAUAAAUUGAAGAGUUUGGUGCAAUCAAAGGAGGAACGAGAGAGGCUUUGGAAAGUAAUUUCAGUUGAACUUGAGAGGGAGAUGCAAUUCAAGGAACAAGAUUGGUUCACAUUUGAAGAGGAAGAUGCAUUUAGGUCACUCCACAAACAAGAUCAGGUAUGCGAGUCAAGUGAGAAUCAGGCAGAGCGGCAUGGGCCCACAUCAACAGAAUCACCCCCAUCAUGGUGGAUUAUGUGUAACCAAAAGCCCUGGCAGAACAUUCAACUCCCGUAGCAGUCAAAAACAGACUUGCAGUAUUCGGCAGCAGAUCUUUAAGUUGUAAUUAUCAUAUCAAAUCUUAACAAGUAUCGCGCAGCACUCCACUGACUCUUAUUUUUCAUGUUGGAACGGUGAACUCUCUGAAUUUUGGUACAUCAUUUUCUACAAUCAUGUUAUUUUGUCCUUGC